GGUUAAGCGACUAAGCGUACACGGUGGAUGCCCUGGCAGUCAGAGGCGAUGAAGGACGUGCUAAUCUGCGAAAAGCGUCGGUAAGGUGAUAUGAACCGUUAUAGCCGGCGAUGUCCGAAUGGGGAAACCCAGUGCAAUUCGUUGCACUAUCGUUAACUGAAUACAUAGGUUAACGAGGCGAACCGGGGGAACUGAAACAUCUAAGUACCCCGAGGAAAAGAAAUCAACCGAGAUUCCCCCCAGUAGCGGCGAGCGAACGGGGAGCAGCCCAGAGUCUGAAUCAGCUUGUGUGUUAGUGGAACGGUCUGGAAAGUCCGACGGUACAGGGUGAUAGUCCCGUACACCAAAAUGCACAGGUUGUGAACUCGAAGAGUAGGGCGGGACACGUGGUAUCCUGUCUGAAUAUGGGGGGGGACCAUCCUCCAAGGCUAAAUACUCCUGACUGACCGAUAGUGAACCAGUACCGUGAGGGAAAGGCGAAAAGAACCCCGGCGAGGGGAGUGAAAAAGAACCUGAAACCGUGUACGUACAAGCAGUGGGAGCACCUUCGGGUGUGACUGCGUACCUUUUGUAUAAUGGGUCAGCGACUUAUAUUCUGUAGCAAGGUUAACCGUAUAGGGGAGCCGCAGGGAAACCGAGUCUUAACUGGGCGUUAAGUUGCAGGGUAUAGACCCGAAACCCGGUGAUCUAGCCAUGGGCAGGUUGAAGGUUGGGUAACACUAACUGGAGGACCGAACCGACUAAUGUUGAAAAAAUUAGCGGAUGACUUGUGGCUGGGGGGUGAAAGGCCAAUCAAACCGGGAGAUAGCUGGUUCUCCCCGAAAGCUAUUUAGGUAGCGCCUCGUGAAUUCAUCUUCGGGGGGUAGAGCACUGUUUCGGCUAGGGGGGUCAUCCCGACUUACCAACCCGAUGCAAACUACGAAUACCGAAGAAUGUUAUCACGGGAGACACACGGCGGGUGCUAACGUCCGUCGUGAAGAGGGAAACAACCCAGACCGCCAGCUAAGGUCCCAAAGUCAUGGUUAAGUGGGAAACGAUGUGGGAAGGCACAGACAGCCAGGAUGUUGGCUUAGAAGCAGCCAUCAUUUAAAGAAAGCGUAAUAGCUCACUGGUCGAGUCGGCCUGCGCGGAAGAUGUAACGGGGCUAAACCAUGCACCGAAGCUGCGGCAGCGACACGAUGUGUUGUUGGGUAGGGGAGCGUUCUGUAAGCCUGCGAAGGUGUGCUGUGAGGCAUGCUGGAGGUAUCAGAAGUGCGAAUGCUGACAUAAGUAACGAUAAAGCGGGUGAAAAGCCCGCUCGCCGGAAGACCAAGGGUUCCUGUCCAACGUUAAUCGGGGCAGGGUGAGUCGACCCCUAAGGCGAGGCCGAAAGGCGUAGUCGAUGGGAAACAGGUUAAUAUUCCUGUACUUGGUGUUACUGCGAAGGGGGGGGACGGAGAAGGCUAUGUUAGCCGGGCGACGGUUGUCCCGGUUUAAGCAUGUAGGCUGGUUAUCCAGGCAAAUCCGGAUAAUCAAGGCUGAGGUGUGAUGACGAGGCACUACGGUGCUGAAGUAACAAAUGCCCUGCUUCCAGGAAAAGCCUCUAAGCAUCAGGUAACAUCAAAUCGUACCCCAAACCGACACAGGUGGUCAGGUAGAGAAUACCAAGGCGCUUGAGAGAACUCGGGUGAAGGAACUAGGCAAAAUGGUGCCGUAACUUCGGGAGAAGGCACGCUGGUGUGUAGGUGAAGUCCCUGCGGAUGGAGCUGAGACCAGUCGAAGAUACCAGCUGGCUGCAACUGUUUAUUAAAAACACAGCACUGUGCAAACACGAAAGUGGACGUAUACGGUGUGACGCCUGCCCGGUGCCGGAAGGUUAAUUGAUGGGGUUAUCCGUAAGGAGAAGCUCUUGAUCGAAGCCCCGGUAAACGGCGGCCGUAACUAUAACGGUCCUAAGGUAGCGAAAUUCCUUGUCGGGUAAGUUCCGACCUGCACGAAUGGCGUAAUGAUGGCCAGGCUGUCUCCACCCGAGACUCAGUGAAAUUGAACUCGCUGUGAAGAUGCAGUGUACCCGCGGCAAGACGGAAAGACCCCGUGAACCUUUACUAUAGCUUGACACUGAACAUUGAGCCUUGAUGUGUAGGAUAGGUGGGAGGCUUUGAAGCGUGGACGCCAGUCUGCGUGGAGCCAACCUUGAAAUACCACCCUUUAAUGUUUGAUGUUCUAACGUUGGCCCCUGACCGGGGUUGCGGACAGUGUCUGGUGGGUAGUUUGACUGGGGCGGUCUCCUCCCAAAGCGUAACGGAGGAGCACGAAGGUUAGCUAAUCCUGGUCGGACAUCAGGAGGUUAGUGCAAUGGCAUAAGCUAGCUUGACUGCGAGCGUGACGGCGCGAGCAGGUGCGAAAGCAGGUCAUAGUGAUCCGGUGGUUCUGAAUGGAAGGGCCAUCGCUCAACGGAUAAAAGGUACUCCGGGGAUAACAGGCUGAUACCGCCCAAGAGUUCAUAUCGACGGCGGUGUUUGGCACCUCGAUGUCGGCUCAUCACAUCCUGGGGCUGAAGUAGGUCCCAAGGGUAUGGCUGUUCGCCAUUUAAAGUGGUACGCGAGCUGGGUUUAGAACGUCGUGAGACAGUUCGGUCCCUAUCUGCCGUGGGCGCUGGAGAAUUGAGGGGGGGGCUGCUCCUAGUACGAGAGGACCGGAGUGGACGCAUCACUGGUGUUCGGGUUGUCAUGCCAAUGGCACUGCCCGGUAGCUAAAUGCGGAAGAGAUAAGUGCUGAAAGCAUCUAAGCACGAAACUUGCCCCGAGAUGAGUUCUCCCUGAGACUUUAAGUCUCCUGAAGGAACGUUAAAGACGAUGACGUUGAUAGGCCGGGUGUGUAAGCGCAGCGAUGCGUUGAGCUAACCGGUACUAAUGAACCGUGAGGCUUAACCUU
rnacentral:rRNA from 1 species